UGGGGAAUUUUGCACAAUGGGGGAAACCCUGAUGCAGCGACGCCGCGUGAUUUAGAAGGCCUUCGGGUUGUAAAAAUCUUUUCUAUGGGAAGAAAAUGACAGUACCAUAGGAAUAAGGACCGGCUAAUUACGCGCCAGCAGCCGCGGUAAUACGUAAGGUCCGAGCGUUGUCCGGAAUCAUUGGGCGUAAAGGGUACGUAGGCGGGUAAGCAAGUUAGAAGUGAAAUCCUAUAGCUCAACUAUAGUAAGCUUUUAAAACUGCUCAUCUUGAGGUAUGGAAGGGAAAGUGGAAUUCCUAGUGUAGCGGUGAAAUGCGCAGAUAUUAGGAGGAAUACCGGUGGCGAAGGCGACUUUCUGGCCAUAACCUGACGCUGAGGUACGAAAGCGUGGGUAGCAAACAGG
rnacentral:rRNA from 1 species